UUACGGCCAUACCAUGUUGAAACACCGGCUCGCCUAUGAUAACCGAAGUUAAGCAAUGUCAAACCUGGUCAGUACUUAGAUGAGUAACCGCUUGAGAAUGCCAGUUGCU